GUUGAAGCAACAACAGAAAGAACAGCUCUGUGCCUGUGUCUACAAAACCGUACAAGACAAAGAUUUUAAUGAAUGAACCACUACCAAGAGAUGCUCACAAGCUACGUCUGGACAGUGUGGCUCGGGCGACCCAGAGGAAGCAUCGGUACUAUUCCAUCAGUGAGGACCCCUCUGCGCUCUCUUCUCUUCUCCUCCGGAUGUAUCUCCCGUGUUCCACUCGCGUCCUCGGCUAGAUGUUCUUUAAUAUCUAGAAAGAAUUCUAGAUAACAGAUGAGGUCAGACUGGUGAAGAAUUCAAGAAAAGGAAACAAGUGAUUUGUCACCUGCACCUCUGCGUCAUUCAUGCCAACCACAGCCAACCACCCCCCCUUUCUCCUCCUAUCAUACUACACAUGCCACAGUGUACAAAUGUGGAGAGUCCUCCUAAAUCUCCCCAAAAGUCUUCACUCUCAGUGUUGAAGCAGAGGAUCCUGUAAUUGCCUUCAAGUGAGUUGGCAGGGGAGUGACAUGAAAUCUUCGAGUGAAAUAUAGACCUUUUCU
rnacentral:lncRNA from 1 species